GAGUACGGCCGCAAGGUUAAAACUCAAAUGAAUUGACGGGGCCCGCACAAGCGGUGGAGCAUGUGGUUUAAUUCGAUGCAACGCGAAGAACCUUACCUACUCUUGACAUCCAGAGAAUUUAGCAGAGAUGCUUUAGUGCCUUCGGGAACUCUGAGACAGGUGCUGCAUGGCUGUCGUCAGCUCGUGUUGUGAAAUGUUGGGUUAAGUCCCGCAACGAGCGCAACCCUUAUCCUUUGUUGCCAGCACGUUAUGGUGGGAACUCAAAGGAGACUGCCGGUGAUAAACCGGAGGAAGGUGGGGAUGACGUCAAGUCAUCAUGGCCCUUACGAGUAGGGCUACACACGUGCUACAAUGGCGUAUACAAAGAGAAGCGACCUCGCGAGAGCAAGCGGAACUCAUAAAGUACGUCGUAGUCCGGAUUGGAGUCUGCAACUCGACUCCAUGAAGUCGGAAUCGCUAGUAAUCGUAGAUCAGAAUGCUACGGUGAAUACGUUCCCGGGCCUUGUACACACCGCCCGUCACACCAUGGGAGUGGGUUGCAAAAGAAGUAGGUAGCUUAACCUUCGGGAGGGCGCUUACCACUUUGUGAUUCAUGACUGGGGUGAAGUCGUAACAAGGUAACCA
rnacentral:rRNA from 1 species